AUUGAACGCUGGCGGCAGGCUUAACACAUGCAAGUCGAGCGAGCGGCGGACGGGUGAGUAACGUAUGGGUAACUGCCCGAUAGCGGUGGAUAACUACUGGAAACGGUGGCUAAUACCGCAUACUAUCGGAUGAACCCAUCUGGGAUUAGCUGGUUGGUGGGGUAAAGGCUCACCUAGGCGACGAUGUCUAGCUGGUCUGAGAGGAUGGUCGGCCACACUGGGACUGAGACACGGCCCAGACUCCUACGGGAGGCAGCAGUAGGGAAUAUUCCGCAAUGGGCGAAAGCCUGAUGCAGCCAUGCCGCGUGUAUGAAGAAGGCCUUAGGGUUGUAAAGUUCUGUCAGCAGGGAAGCGUUACCCACAGAGAAAGCACCGGCUAACUACGUGCCAGCCGCCGCGGUAAUUC
rnacentral:rRNA from 1 species